CUUAUAAUGUAACCCUAUAUAAAUAAUUAAAAAUAUGCUUAUUUGUCUAAGUGGGGCAUAAGCCUGUAAAGCAUUGUAAUCUUAGCUGUUGGAAAAAUGCUUUGGAUAUUAAAUGAGGCUUGCUUCAAAAUUAAAUGGAUAUAGAACCGGGGAACUAGAUUCUAUAGAGACAAAAUCCAAGAAGUCCAAAAGGAAUUUUUAAAAAGUUGCAAAGAAAACAUUGUUUUUCUCUUUUAAUAGCUUUGCUCUGCCAAUUUAGUUUCAGUUUGGUUCUUAUUUUGGACCACAGUUAAGAGGAAAGUUACCUUGCACAGGUAACCCUGUCCAAAUGAAGGUUGCAAGUUUUCCAAGAAUAUUGAGAGGAAGAAAUGAAUGCUUCCCUAAGCCUCCUCUUUGGAAAAAAAAACCAAUACAAUUCAUAGGGAAGAAGCCCCCACACUGAAGAAUUAUUUUCAAUGAUGUUUAAUGGAUAAAUUCUAAAAGUGCUGUUGAUAGAAAAAGAAACUUGCAAUGAACUCUGAAUCUAUCAACAAAGGUGAAUGUCUGCUUGUAUGCAUCAAUAGAAGACCUAAUCAAUAAACUAGGAAGUAUGUGAAAUAGUAUAUAUCUCAUUUCUAUGUUGCAUUUCUGUAACAGUAGUGCUAAUUUAGCAGGGUAUUGGAGAUCAACCAAGCUAAUAAAGAAGUAUGCACCUAUAACACAAAGGAAGAUGAUAAUGAUUUUACAGAUUUUGUUACAGUUUGCAGAAAAGUACUUCAGCAGCAAAGUUAUUAUAGUGUCCGAUCAAUAAAUAAACCAAUAAUUAACACAAAUAGGGAAAUGUUAUGAUUUAAUGAAGCAGGAUGGCCAGCAGAUACAUAUAGGUUAGAAUAAACCCCAGUGAGUCUUUUUAUGGGAAAGUAGAGGGAGAGAAAGGAGGCAAGGUCAAUUCCUCGAGGAAAAUGAUAUCAGAAGGAAAAACUGAUACAAAGGAAUGGGGGGGGGUUUGUAGAUUUAUAGGUGGGGGAUGGUUGUGUUGGAAAGAACAGAAAAGAGGAAGGACUGACCUCUCUGCAUCCCUACCAGGGCUGUUUGUGUUAUUCACCUUGCUGCCUCAUUUUGUGCUAAGCACUGUGCAUUUUCUGCACCUUCUGUAGCUUUUCAGAAUUUGCCUAGCUUCCAUCGCAAAAAUAUUUUGGCCAUAAUCCAGCAGAUAAUUUUUUGCCCUAAGCCCAGGAAAUGAACCAAACCAAUGUGUGUUUUCACUUGGAAGUCAAAUCUAAGGAAAUGAGAAAAAAAACUCUUUGAAGUAUUUUCUAAAGUUUUCCAGGCUUGAUGAGGUUGUAUUUCCAUUUGCUGCAAGAACCUCAGAAGGAAAAACAGGUUUCAACCCUCAUUUACAUCACCCCAAUUCUUCUAGAGCCCAUUCACACAUCCCCUGCUCCCAAACCCUGAAAGUGGACUUGAUCCGUGUAUUAUGCAAGAAUUCCUGUGGAAUUAGAAAGGGCGAUUAGUCAAUUCACAUUACUUUGUAGAAACUUGCACUUUUUAAAUAGACCUAAAUUAUUAUUGUACAAACAAGAUUGAACCAUACUGGAGUAAGUCUCAUAAAGCUGCUUCUAAGUAGACAUGCAGAGGAUUGCCCCGUAAAUCGCUUUUAUUUCACAGUCCUUUCUUUAUUUUUCUGUUAGUUCCCUUCUUUUAUACCUUACUUGCAUAUUCACAAAUCAAAAUAUUACCUUGAAAUAAUAAGGUGGGAAAGAAGAUACUUUCUUGUCAUUAUUCCUGGUUAAUGGAAGUCAACAGAUUGACCGAAUGGCCUAAUCUAGAGGCUUGUCCUAGCAGACAAGACUAAAAGAUCAUCAUUCAGGCAAUAGGUGAGCAAAGCAAAUCGGGGCUCUGGCAGAGCCUCCACUGAACCUCCGAACCUUGCCUGCCAGCUUUCUCCUUCUUCCUUCCAGUGGUUGCUUGGCCCGACUUUCUACACUUGGCCUUGCUCAUGGUGUUAUGGUUACUGUUGGUGAUGGUGGCAACAUACUUCCCAUUGAAGGACUCCACCCAGUCUGACUUUCACCUUUUCACAUUUGAGCUCUUUGAGGAAUGGCCAGCUCCUUGAGUCAGCCAGCAAGCUGAAAUGUCACUGACGGGUUCUGCCACUUUCUCAGCUGGACCAGCCUCACUCUGGGACUUCUGCAUUUCAAAGAGGGCCACCUUCACUCAAAGUUUUUGAGCUCUUACCCGUUUCCCUCUGCAUUAACUGCCAGGGAUUGUUUUGGCUGGAGAUUUCAAGGAAUAACCAUUGUCUACCAAUGGCACCUGGAGAAGCCGCUCCGCAGCAGUCCCCCUCCCUCCCACCCCAUUUCUUUCAACAGAGCCAAGGAAAGGAAAGCAAGCCAGGAGAAAAUUCGCCAGCAACAUUCGGGAGGAUUGGGGUUGUGCUAGUCCAGUGAAUCAGGCCUACGACAACUGCCUGCAUUCACAAGGCAUAUGUAUGCAUUGAUUGUUCAGGAGGAAAUCCUAGCAAAUUUAAGGAAUCUUUCUGUCAGGGAAGAAAAAAGUGAAAGAAUCAACCCAACUGAGAAGCAAGGGAAAGCCAUAGCAUUUCUACUUCUACAACCAUCAUUGUGAUUCUUAUUUCCACAUCUGAUGAUGACAAAGUAAUAUCCAGAACUGCAAAUUCUAUGAAAACACUUACAGAAAAGUAAGACCAUAGUACUUCGAGGUCAUUGCUUUGGAAUGAACAAGUCGACAUAGAAUCCAGCUUCUUCGCUUCACGGGACACAAUUUUAAGAGAAGACAUUUGACAUUGUCCCUGCCAACUUUCAUUCUUAAAACCCGAGCAAUAUGCAGUUUCAAAAGAACAACCCAUGCUUUAAAAUAAUUAUAUAUAUAUAUAUAUAUUAUU